UACGGAGGGUGCAAGCGUUAUCCGGAUUCACUGGGUUUAAAGGGUGCGUAGGAGGGCAGGUAAGUCAGUGGUGAAAUCCCCGAGCUUAACUUGGGAACUGCCGCUGAUACUAUCUGUCUUGAAUAUCGUGGAGGUGAGCGGAAUAUGUCAUGUAGCGGUGAAAUGCUUAGAUAUGACAUAGAACACCAAUUGCGAAGGCAGCUCGCUACACGAAUAUUGACGCUGAGGCACGAAAGCGUGGGGAUCAAACAGG
rnacentral:rRNA from 1 species